rnacentral:rRNA from 1 species
GAUGAACGCUAGCUACAGGCUUAACACAUGCAAGUCGCGGGGCAGCAUGGGGGUUGCUUGCAACCCCUGAUGGCGACCGGCGCACGGGUGAGUAACGCGUAUCCAACCUGCCCUUCACCACGGGAUAACCCGGCGAAAGUCGGACUAAUACCGUAUGUUGUCCAUUGACGGCAUCCGAUUGGGACGAAAGGCUUGGCGGUGGAAGGAUGGGGAUGCGUCCGAUUAGCUUGACGGCGGGGUAACGGCCCACCGUGGCUACGAUCGGGAGGGGUUCUGAGAGGAAGGUCCCCCACACUGGAACUGAGACACGGUCCAGACUCCUACGGGAGGCAGCAGUGAGGAAUAUUGGUCAAUGGGCGUAAGCCUGAACCAGCCAAGUAGCGUGCAGGAUGACGGCCCUAUGGGUUGUAAACUGCUUUUAUGCGGGGAUAAAGUGGCCCACGUGUGGGCUUUUGCAGGUACCGCAUGAAUAAGGACCGGCUAAUUCCGUG